rnacentral:rRNA from 1 species
UACGUAGGCAGCGAGCGUUGUUCGGAAUUACUGGGCGUAAAGGGUGUGUAGGCGGUUCUUUAAGUUUGGGGUGAAAUCUCCCGGCUCAACUGGGAGGGUGCGCCGAAUACUGAGGGACUAGAGUACGGGAGAGGAAAGUGGAAUUCCUGGUGUAGCGGUGAAAUGCGUAGAUAUCAGGAGGAACACCGGUGGUGUAGACGGCUUUCUGGACCGACACUGACGCUGAGACACGAAAGCGUGGGUAGCAAACAGG